rnacentral:rRNA from 1 species
UACGUAGGUGGCAAGCGUUGUCCGGAAUUAUUGGGCGUAAAGCGCGCGCAGGCGGUCCGUUGCGUCUGCCGUGAAACCCGAGGCUUAACCUCGGCCUGCGGUGGAUACGGGCGGACUAGAGGUAGGUAGGGGAGAAUGGAAUUCCCGGUGUAGCGGUGAAAUGCGCAGAUAUCGGGAGGAACACCGGUGGCGAAGGCGGUUCUCUGGGCCUUACCUGACGCUGAGGAGCGAAAGCGUGGGAGCGAACAGG